CCGAGUGCUUGCACUCAAUUGGAAAGAGGAGUGNNNGUGACGGGUGAGUAACACGUGGGUAACCUACCCAUCAGAGGGGGAUAACACUUGGAAACAGGUGCUAAUACCGCAUAACAGUUUAUGCCGCAUGGCAUAAGAGUGAAAGGCGCUUUCGGGUGUCGCUGAUGGAUGGACCCGCGGUGCAUUAGCUAGUUGGUGAGGUAACGGCUCACCAAGGCCACGAUGCAUAGCCGACCUGAGAGGGUGAUCGGCCACACUGGGACUGAGACACGGCCCAGACUCCUACGGGAGGCAGCAGUAGGGAAUCUUCGGCAAUGGACGAAAGUCUGACCGAGCAACGCCGCGUGAGUGAAGAAGGUUUUCGGAUCGUAAAACUCUGUUGUUAGAGAAGAACAAGGACGUUAGUAACUGAACGUCCCCUGACGGUAUCUAACCAGAAAGCCACGGCUAACUACGUGCCAGCAGCCGCGGUAAUACGUAGGUGGCAAGCGUUGUCCGGAUUUAUUGGGCGUAAAGCGAGCGCAGGCGGUUUCUUAAGUCUGAUGUGAAAGCCCCCGGCUCAACCG
rnacentral:rRNA from 1 species